UACGGGGGGGGCAAGCGUUGUUCGGAAUUACUGGGCGUAAAGGGCUCGUAGGCGGCCAACUAAGUCAGACGUGAAAUCCCCAGGCUUAACCUGGGAACUGCGUCUGAUACUGGAUGGCUUGAAUUCGGGAGAGGGAUGCAGAAUUCCAGGUGUAGCGGUGAAAUGCGUAGAUAUCUGGAGGAACACCGGUGGCGAAGGCGGCGUUCUGGACUGCAACUGACACUGAGAAACGCAAGCCAGGGUAGCAAACGGG
rnacentral:rRNA from 1 species